UCUUGAGUCCUGAGUCCUUAAUUUGAAGUGUUUUGCUUGUACCACUUCAAAUUAAGGACUCAGGAUUCACUCAGG
rnacentral:pre_miRNA from 1 species